UCCCCCCCCUCGUCGUGCCCCUUGCCCUCCCCCACCGACCUGCAGAACGCGAAGAACCUUACCAACCCUUGACAUGGGACGUAUGGACUUCAGAGAUGAGGUUCUUCAGUUCGGCUGGCGUCCACACAGGUGCUGCAUGGCUGUCGUCAGCUCGUGUCGUGAGAUGUUGGGUUAAGUCCCGCAACGAGCGCAACCCUCAUCUUCAGUUGCCAUCAUUUAGUUGGGCACUCUGAAGAAACUGCCGGUGACAAGCCGGAGGAAGGCGGGGAUGACGUCAAGUCCUCAUGGCCCUUACGGGUUGGGCUACACACGUGCUACAAUGGUGGUGACAAUGGGGAGCGAGGCCGCGAGGCCAAGCCAAUCUCAAAAAGCCAUCUCAGUUCGGAUUGCACUCUGCAACUCGAGUGCAUGAAGUUGGAAUCGCUAGUAAUCGCGCAUCAGCAUGGCGCGGUGAAUACGUUCCCGGGUCUUGUACACACCG
rnacentral:rRNA from 1 species